rnacentral:lncRNA from 1 species
CGAGAGACGUUUUCCUGGUGUUAGCGCAGAAGCAGACAUGCAGCCUGGAUAUGCUGGCUCCAGCCUGGCAGCUCUUUCGGCUGAGCAGGGACUGUGUGGAGCUCGGUGCCCACGCUGCCGCUGAGGAAGAAAGCUGCUCUCCCACUCUGUGCCGUGACGAUACACCUGCAGCCACAAGACCGUGGAGAUGGCGGCACUUGUCUCUGUUUGCCUGACUGGGGCCUUUGCAGGUGCUCCUCUUCCGAAGCUGUGCUGGCGUUCCAGGGCCGUGCAGAUGGGUAAUACAAUUUGCUGCAGUUUCUUACAUCAGUGUAGCAAAGCUCAAGCGAACAACCAGACUCUGACCUAAAUCAGUCCCAGUUCUUCGGGAUACAGGGCAGCAGGCGACUGGCAGUGAUACAAUCAGCCAUCAAGUGGAGAGGCUCUGGGACUGCAAUCUGUAUGGGUUGGAGUCUGUGAGAAUGAAACAGUUCCCGUUAUCCGGUCGCUUCUCCUUCUAAUAAUACAAUUGCUACAACUGCUACUACUACCGCAUCUGUUUCUCCAUGCCUGAAAGAAGCUGCUCCUUGCGCCCUCUCUGUGUGGGUAUUUGCGCAGAUUAGUCUGUUGGUAAUGCAGCCCUUAUCUGCUUCUGCUGGAAACCAGGGCACGAAGUCAGCCUGCCUUAACAGUUGUUUCUUUCUGCGUGAUGCUAUGCAGCUAGAAUGGGUUACGCUGACAACAAAGGAGCCAGCACAAAGCAUCACUUUAUUUGCUGGACUGCUACAGGAACCCGACUCUUCUUCGCUACGAAGCCCUGUUCUCUUCCCUUUUUGUUUUUUGUUUUUUGUUUUUUUUAUGUAAUUCAUCUAAUUGAAGAGCCUAACAGACACCAUCGUGGAUGUGGGUUUUAAUGAUUUGGAAAAGACAGCCUGUGGAGACUGCGAUUGGAGACUGCAACACGCUUAGGUUAUUGCCAAUUUGAAAUACUUGGUUUGUGAAGCACAGCCCUAAGGGACAAGCGCAGUAACUGAGAGAGAGAUCGUAGAUAAAGAAAUAAAAAUGACAAGCAUAAUGGAGGCUCUGCAAGAAACUGUCAGGGAAUCAGUUCAUGGAUGGCAAUUUCACCAGUCUGAAUCUGAAUAAUUCAUAGAUUGAAAUUACCCUGCUUUCACCUUUCCAUUUAAACUGGCAUGAUCUGAAUCUCUAAUAAAUUUUCAAGAUAAAGUAAAAUGCCAAUUUGAAUCUGAAGAGCUUUUAAAACCAAAUGCUACACCCUGAGUCUUUCGAUACCUUUCACAAUUAUCCUGUGAGAGCCGCACUUCAUCACGAAGCACCAUUACCAGUGAAAAUUACGGUGAUUACAAUAGCAACAAUAGAAUACCGUCAAAUGAUCUCCAAUUUACCUAAUUUACCAAGGUUGACUGUGUGCCCAUUGUGCUUCACUACGUCUGGCAUUGGAUCAAUAUCACAGAGGAAGAAAAAUGCCUUAGUAUAUGCUUCCUUUUGGUGCCUUUAACUUUGACAGCACAGGAAAAUCUAUCUCCUGUUAAAUGUUUUUACAGCCCAUCUGCAUGCCUGCCAUAGGAUCUGAUUGAUUCUCCAUCAUUUUCUUUGGUUGCUGAGUAUUGGAUGUUAUUGUGUUACUAAUUUGUUUAUAACGUGUACUCCUGCACAAAGACUGCAGCAAACGAGUAACAGCACAGCGACUGCGCUGCUGCAGCAGUAGCACUGCACUCUCUCGCAGGGGAAGCCAAAAUGAGUUUGGUGCCUUAUGUGAAUAAUCACUUGCAUCUGGGUUAUAAAUGCUUCCAAACAUCACUCAUCUUGGUUGCACGACAUGAGAAAUGUGUGCAAAAGUCGUGGUCAAGGGAAAUGGUUAUCUGUAAUCCUAACAAGAUUUCUCCCCUAUCCAGCAAUCAGUAUGAGGCUGUGAGAGAUAAGCUGUGACUCUUUCUUUAAAUGUGUGUGUGUACAUACGCAUGCACGUACAUAGGAGAUUUACUCUGCCCCCACGAAGUAUUUGCUAAGGAAGACAAUCCCUGUGGAGCUGAUAGCUGUGGACUAAUGACUGGUAUACCAAGCAGAUAAGCUGUGGACAUUUUUCAGUGUUAACAUAAUGACUUUCAUCAAAGGAGGAAGAAGUCUACUUAUUUUUCAUUUUGUUAAGCAAGUGGAGAAACUCCUCCAGACGUAGUCGCUGCAGAAGCCUGGGGUCAGUGCACAGCUCGCUGCCUGCGGGAACCACCUUCUUUACAGGCUUCUGAAAAAUAAGCACAUUGCUCAGCCAUGUUAGGUCUUUCAUGUUGCGUGCUCCACACUAAAGAAAUAAGCUAGCAUUGUGAAAGGUAAGAUACCACCAUUGUCUGAGGAAAACAACUGAAUGAUCC